rnacentral:rRNA from 1 species
GAUGAACGCUGGCGGCGUGCCUAAUACAUGCAAGUCGAGCGAACGGACGAGAAGCUUGCUUCUCUGAUGUUAGCGGCGGACGGGUGAGUAACACGUGGAUAACCUACCUAUAAGACUGGGAUAACUUCGGGAAACCGUAGCUAAUACCGGAUAAUAUUUUGAACUGCAUGGUUCAAAAGUGAAAGACGGUCUUGCUGUCACUUAUAGAUGGAUCCGCGCUGCAUUAGCUAGUUGGUAAGGUAACGGCUUACCAAGGCAACGAUGCAUAGCCGACCUGAGAGGGAGGUCGGACAGACUGGAACUGAGGCACGGUCCAGACUCCGAGGGGAGGCAGCAGUAGGGAAUCUUCCGCAAUGGGGGAAAGCCUGACGGAGCAACGCCGCGUGAGUGAUGAAGGUCUUCGGAUCGUAGAACGCUGUUAUUAGGGAAGAACAUAUGUGUAAGUAACUGUGAUCAUCUUGACGGUACCUGAUCAGAAAGCCACGGCUAACUACGUG